UACGAAGGGGGGCUAGCGUUGCUCGGAAUCACUGGGCGUAAAGGGUGCGUAGGCGGGUCUUUUAAGUCAGGGGUGAAAUCCUGGAGCUCAACUCCAGAACUGCCCUUUGAUACUGCGGUCUGAGUUCGGGAGAGGUGAGUGGAACUGCGAGUGUAGAGGUGAAAUUCGUAGAUAUUCGCAAGAACACCAGUGGCGAAGGCGGCUCACUGGCCCGGAUACUACGCUGAGGUGCGAAAGCGUGGGGGAGCAAACAGG
rnacentral:rRNA from 1 species